GAAGCCCAUUCUAGAGCUGUUUCAGACCAGAGGUUAUGCUCAACUCAUCACUGCUUCCACCACAGAGAAGAACACACUGCUGGACCUGAUUUUCAUUUCACAGCCCGGCCACUGUGUCCAGUCUGGUGUCCUGAGAACAUAUCACAGCUACCAUAACCCUGUUUACUGCGUCCUGAAUUUCAGCAAAGUGUGAAGCAGAGAAAGACUUCGGAUGUCUUCAUUCCAUUCAGUGACCUGAUCAGUGUUGUAAUCAUGUGUCUUUGUCCAUUAAGACUGUAGGUGGCUGAUGAGGUAAGGCCUUUGUUAAUUAACAGAACUGAAUCAUGCCUAACCUUUUUAUUUUAUUGUUUCAAUGAUGUGUUUGACAGCAUAUGAAUGAGGUAUGUGAAAAACAUAUUUUGAAGUAAUCAUGCUUUUCCUGAAAUGAUUGUUGAAUUGAAUUCCUUCACUGUGAAUAACAUUUUUCUGAUGUUUCAGUUCUGUGUUUGACCGUUCAUGCAUUAGGGAAGGUGUGUGAAAAUCUUCAAAGGUAACAAUGUUUUUCUUGAGGUGAGUAUUGCAUUGAGAUCCCCACUUUCUAAUUGACAAUAUUUAAAUCUAGUGUUUAAUUUCUAAAACUCUGUUGGCCUGUGCAUUCAUCAUCUGGGUGGGUCUGGGUCAGGGUUGGUGAAUGCACAGGCCACAACACUCUUCUGGGUUAGAGCUUCAUUCAGUCACAUGCUCUGUGGUGUAACUAACACCUGCCCAGUAGUUUGAAUCCUUCUUCAGUCCCCUUUGAGGACUGGAGCUGGACUACCUCCAGACUGUCCACUGUGGGGUCCUCUGAGUCACCUGUCUGAGCCGUCUCCAAGAGUGCCUGUCAGAUUCACCUGUCAGGUCCUGCAGAGCAUCACUGUCUUUAGUCCCAGCAUGUCCAUCAGCCAUAAAGCAGUCAUCAUUGCUGGACAUGAGAGAGACGUGGACGUCCCUGGUACCAUCAGACAUUCUCCAGUGUGUGAGACGAGAUGGCGCACUGCCGGCCUUCAUUCUCCCUUGAGAGCAGAAGACGUCCUGCUGCUCUGAGGACACUGCUGGAUGUCCAGACCAGACAUCCUCCAGUCAGUCCCCAUGUGUCCUCUCAGAGCAGCUGCAGACACUCUGACUGAACCAAGAGGAACAAACUUCAGCUCCAGUCCUGACGUGGGCCAGCACUGCAGCGUCUUGAGGAUGGUGUUUCCCUCUGCCCUCCACCUUCACCUCAGAGGAGCCUCCAUGCUGACGGCCUCACUGUGGAGCUGCUGCUGCUGCUGCUGCUGCAAGUCUCUCCUCAUCAAAGUGACGGGACUCUGCAGCGCUGAUGAAGAGGAGGACUGAUUCCUGUUUCCUCCAUCAUGAACAACUCAACCACACAGCAGGGUUCCGUCUGGGUCUCCUGUUCUCUCUGCCUCUCCCACAACAUGGACAAGAGCUGUGAGAGCAGCAGCCGUCCAGCCAAGGACGGAACAAGCUUCAUCUGGAGGAAACAACUGGUCUGAGCUGCUGGACAUUUAGAACUCAGUCUGACUCUUGAAGGACUCAGAAGAGGACAGCUGUCCUGACUGAUCUGGGAGGCACGACGAGCCACUACUGCAUUUUCUUCUUUGUCCCUGAAGCCCAACCGGAAUAGCAGAAAGCCGCCACCUCUGAGCCUGGUUCUGCAAAGGUUUCUUCCUGUUAACAGGGAGUUUUUCCUUUCCACUGUCGCUGAUGCUUGCUCAUGUGGAUCUGUUGGGUUUCAGUUCUGUUUGCUGUCUCUUCAAACAAGACAAAUGGACACAAUUUUGUUGUUUUAUUCGUUGCAAUGUCAGACUGUGCGCUGGUUAACACAUUUAUUCUAUUUUCUGUUGUGAAUGUUUA